AUGACAUGGUGGCUUCUAGGCAGCAGCUGGCUACAUGGGCAUGGCUUUUAAUAAUAAAGAACAGACAGUUAAAGACCAGCGAGAACAUCCCUAACCUUCAUCUCAUCCAGAUAUGUAACACAUGGGAUGUGGCAAGUUUUAGGACAAGUGGGAUUUACACAGCCAGAGAUGGGAAGGUAAUAAAAUGGACUUCAGCCUACUUCAAGGAGCCCCAUGUCCAGCAUGGCUUGAUUGUCUUCUAAACGGAGGAGGAAGUUACAUGUGGACAAUUCUUCAAAUAUUCAGAUAGUUUAUCAUUUAAAUAGACAAAAACCUUGUGUUGGCAAUAUAAAUUUCAAUCUUUUGUUUCAAAUUGUCAGUAAAUAAUUGAAUUGAGUUGUUUUUGUAGAACACAGACAGUGUAGGUUGCUCUCUAAGGGUCCAUUCCCAAUGAAACUACUGUUCUAUGUAGAUAGAUCCAACUCCACGGGGACUCACGCUGAAUGCAAUCAGAUAAACAUGCCUCCUGGCAUUGAGUAAAAUACAGAUAAAAAGCUGUUGAUUAUAUAAGUACCAGUAUGUGAAAACAAGAGGAGGUGUGUUAAUAUGAUUGCAUUCAGUCAGAGUCCCUGCAAAGUUGGAUCGAUCUACAUAGAAUGACAGUUCCAUUGGGAAUGUGCCCUAAAUAAUAAUAAUGGGCAAGUCUACUUUAGGUUGCGUUUGUUUUUGGAAAAAGUUGCUAACUGCUGCUUCUUUAAUGUAGAAUUUUUUUGUUGAGGUUAGAUUAAGAGCUACUUACUUUGAGAACAAAUUAUUAAUGCAUUACAUUCAUUUUAUGCCAACAAGUAUUCUAAUGGGGCACUACACAAUUUC